GACGUAGGGCGCGAGCGUUGUCCGGAUUUAUUGGGCGUAAAGAGCUCGUAGGCGGCCUGUCGCGUCGGAUGUGAAAGCCCGGGGCUUAACCCCGGGUCUGCAUUCGAUACGGGCAGGCUAGAGUUCGGUAGGGGAGAUCGGAAUUCCUGGUGUAGCGGUGAAAUGCGCAGAUAUCAGGAGGAACACCGGUGGCGAAGGCGGAUCUCUGGGCCGGUACUGACGCUGAGACGCGAAAGCGUGGGGAGCGAACAGG
rnacentral:rRNA from 1 species